rnacentral:rRNA from 1 species
UACGUAGGGGGCUAGCGUUGUCCGGAAUCAUUGGGCGUAAAGCGCACGUAGGCGGAUCUUUAAGUCAGGGGUGAAAUCCUGGAGCUCAACUCCAGAACUGCCUUUGAUACUGAGGGUCUUGAGUUCGGGAGAGGUGAGUGGAACUGCGAGUGUAGAGGUGAAAUUCGUAGAUAUUCGCAAGAACACCAGUGGCGAAGGCGGCUCACUGGCCCGAUACUGACGCUGAGGUGCGAAAGCGUGGGGAGCGAACAGG